rnacentral:rRNA from 1 species
UACGAAGGGUGCAAGCGUUACUCGGAAUUACUGGGCGUAAAGCGUGCGUAGGCGGUCUGUUAAGUCUGUCGUGAAAGCCCCGGGCUCAACCUGGGAAUGGCGAUGGAAACUGGCGAGCUAGAGUACGGUAGAGGAGAGUGGAAUUCCCGGUGUAGCAGUGAAAUGCGUAGAGAUCGGGAGGAACAUCAGUUGCGAAGGCGGCUCUCUGGACCAGUACUGACGCUGAGGCACGAAAGCGUGGGGAGCAAACAGG